GACGAACGCUGGCGGCGUGCUUAACACAUGCAAGUCGAACGAGUGGCGUACGGGUGAGUAACGCUAAUCCACCUGCCCUUCAGCGGGGUACAGCAGUUGGAACCAACUGCUCAUACCUCCUACUGAAGGUGGGGGGUUAGUCUGCUGCGCUGGUUGGGGGGGUAACGGCCUACGAAGGCGAUGAUCGGUAGCGGGUCUGAGAGGAGGACCAGCCACACUGGAACUGAGACACGGUCCAGACUCCUACGGGAGGAAGCAGUGGGGAAUAUUGCACAAUGGGCGCAAGCCUGAUGCAGCCAGGUCGCGUGUGUGAAGAAGGCCUUCGGGUUGUAAAGCACUUUCAGCGGGGAGGCGUUACCCGCAGAAGAAGCACCGGCUAACUCCGUGCCAGCAGCCGCGGUAAUUC
rnacentral:rRNA from 1 species